AGUGAACGCUGGCGGUAGGCCUAACACAUGCAAGUCGAACGGCAGCACAGUAAGAGCUUGCUCUUACGGGUGGCGAGUGGCGGACGGGUGAGGAAUACAUCGGAAUCUACUUUUUCGUGGGGGAUAAUGUAGGGAAACUUACGCUAAUACCGCAUACGACCUACGGGUGAAAGCAGGGGAUCUUCGGACCUUGCGCGAUUGAUUGAGCCGAUGUCGGAUUAGCUAGUUGGCGGGGUAAAGGCCCACCAAGGCGACGAUCCGUAGCUGGUCUGAGAGGAUGAUCAGCCACACUGGAACUGAGACACGGUCCAGACUCCUACGGGAGGCGGCAGUGGGGAAUAUUGGACAAUGGGCGCAAGCCUGAUCCAGCCAUACCGCGUGGGUGAAGAAGGCCUUCGGGUUGUAAAGCCCUUUUGUUGGGAAAGAAAAGCAGCAGGUUAAUACCCCGCUGUUCUGACGGUACCCAAAGAAUAAGCACCGGCUAACUUCGUG
rnacentral:rRNA from 1 species